AUAUUACAAGUACCGUGAGGGAAAGUUGCAAAGCACUUUGAAGAGAGAGUUAAAGAGGACGUGAAACCGGUGGGAUGGAAACGGAUAGAGCCGACGUAUCUACCCUGCAUUCAGCCGUCCACUCGGGGAUGGUGUGUCGAUGGGGGACCAGCUUGUGGCGCCCGUCGACCCACCGCCAAUCCCGGCGGGCGGUGCACUUGCAGGUGGAGUGCGCUGAGCGGUGCGGGGCAGCGAUUGGAUAUACGAAGUGAGGCCCACCGCCCCCAAAGGCGACGGGUACCCCUUCUCUCCCCCUGUAAGGAAGAUCGUUUGCCCUGCACUUGUCAUGGGCAUGAGGACCGGGCGAACACGCACCCGKGAGGGUGGCCGCUCCAGCUCGGCGUCAAAGUCGGUCAUCUCUCCGACCCGUCUUGAAACACGGACCAAGGAGUUUAACGUAUACGCGAGUCAUUGAUUUCCCCAAAAUCAAAGGCGCAAUGAAAGUAAUBUGGGGUGGGACCCCUCCCUAGUGGGGGCGCACCACCGCCCCGAGGCAGUUGUCACACAACGUCCCGGAGGCAGAGCGUAUGCGCUGAGACCCGAAAGAUGGUGAACUAUUCCUGAGCAGGACGAAGCCAGAGGAAACUCCUGGUGGAAGUCCGAAGCGGUUCUGACGUGCAAAUCUGAUCGUCUGA
rnacentral:rRNA from 3 species